UACGUAGGGUGCAAGCGUUAAUCGGAAUUACUGGGCGUAAAGCGUGCGCAGGCGGUUGUGCAAGACAGAUGUGAAAUCCCCGGGCUCAACCUGGGAAUUGCAUUUGUGACUGCACGGCUAGAGUGUGUCAGAGGGGGGUAGAAUUCCACGUGUAGCAGUGAAAUGCGUAGAGAUGUGGAGGAAUACCGAUGGCGAAGGCAGCCCCCUGGGCCAAUACUGACGCUCAUGCACGAAAGCGUGGGGAGCAAACAGG
rnacentral:rRNA from 1 species